UACGUAGGGGGGCAAGCGUUGUCCGGAAUCAUUGGGCGUAAAGCGCGUGUAGGCGGUUCAGUAAGUCUGCUGUGAAAGUCCAGGGCUCAACCCUGGGAUGCCGGUGGAUACUGCUGGGCUAGAGUACGGAAGAGGCGAGUGGAAUUCCCGGUGUAGCGGUGAAAUGCGCAGAUAUCGGGAGGAACACCAAUUGCGAAGGCAGCUCGCUGGGACGUCACUGACGCUGAGACGCGAAAGCGUGGGGAGCAAACAGG
rnacentral:rRNA from 1 species